rnacentral:rRNA from 1 species
UACGGAGGGUGCAAGCGUUAUCCGGAUUCACUGGGUUUAAAGGGUGCGUAGGUGGGCCUGUAAGUCAGUGGUGAAAUCUCCGUGCUUAACAUGGAAACUGCCAUUGAUACUAUAGGUCUUGAAUUUUCUGGAGGUAAGCGGAAUAUGUCAUGUAGCGGUGAAAUGCUUAGAUAUGACAUAGAACACCAAUUGCGAAGGCAGCUUACUACGGGAACAUUGACACUGAGGCACGAAAGCGUGGGGAUCAAACAGG